GGAUUUCUGCCAGUCAGGUUCCUGGCUGGAGUCCCCCUGACAGCUGGCUCCAUGCUCUGGCCAUGGGCUUGACUA
rnacentral:pre_miRNA from 1 species